rnacentral:rRNA from 1 species
AUUGAACGCUGGCGGCAGGCCUAACACAUGCAAGUCGAGCGGAUGAAGGGAGCUUGCUCCUGGAUUCAGCGGCGGACGGGUGAGUAAUGCCUAGGAAUCUGCCUGGUCGUGGGGGAUAACGUCCGGAAACGGGCGCUAAUAUCGCAUACGUCCUGAGGGAGAAAGUGGGGGAUCUUCGGUCCUCACGCUAUCAGAUGAGCCUAGGUCGGAUUAGCUAGUUGGUGGGGCAAAGGCCUACCAAGGCGACGAUCCGUAACUGAUCUGAGAGGAUGAUCGGUCACACUGGAACUGAGACACGGUCCAGACUCCUACGGGAGGCAGCAGUAGGGAAUAUUCGACAAUGGGCGAAAGCCUGAUCCAGCCAUGCCGCGUGUGUGAAGAAGGUCUUCGGAUUGUAAAGCACUUUAAGUUGGGAGGAAGGGCAGUGAGUGAAUACCUUGCUGUUUUGACGUUACCAACAGAAUAAGCACCGGCUAACUUCGUG